GUGCUCGCUUCAGCAGCACAUAUACUAAAAUUGGAACUAUACAGAGAAGAUUAGCAUGGCCCCUGCGCAAGGAUGACACGUAAAAAGUUUUAAGAGAAUAAAGGUCUAU